rnacentral:lncRNA from 1 species
GGUUGUAGUGAGCUGAGAUUGUACCACUGCACUCCAGCCUGGGCAACAGUGCCAGACCCUGUCUCAAAGGUGGGGGAGAUUUUGACAUGGAGACACAGAUAUGCAUACACGGAUGUGUUGAUGAAGGCAGAGAUUGGGGUGAUGCGGCAGAAGCCAAGGAGCACUGGAUUGCCAGCAAACCAGCAGGAGGUGGGAGAGAGGCAUGGAACAGAUUCUUCCUCACAAGCUUCAGAGGGAACCAACCCUACAGACACCUUGGUCUUGGACUUCUAGCCUCCAGAACUAAUGAAGAGGUGAAGCUCAGAGAAGCCUAAUGCCACGUGGCUGAAACUUUGGAAGAAUCAAACUCAGGCUUGUGACAGCUAAAACACACUUACCACGUCUUUUAAAUGUAAAAACAGAGAGUGAGAAGGAAGAGGAGGGAGGAAAGGACGGAGAACAUUUCUUCACAAUCACCGUGAUGGAGGAAUCACACAUCAUCAGGAAGCUCGAGAAUGAUGAGUAAAAUCUGAGACUUCUGGACAAUACAGGACACACACAAAUAAUGGAAAAGACACUCAAAUAAGGUGGAAACUAAGUAAACAAUUGAAACGUGGAGUCAGAUGCCACUGACAGCCUAAGAAAGCCAAGUAGCCCAGCUUCCCCAUGGGGUUGUCCUCGGCUUUGGUGAGGGGAAGAAGCAGGGUCUGUCCUGGACACUUGUUCCUGGGCUCAGGGCCCAAGUGUUUGAUGCACAGCUUCCCACUCUUUCAAUGGAGGUGCACCUAUUGUCUCCUCAGCCAAAGACUCAGGAUCAUGAAUAACUCAUAGUAAACUCACUGGGGGGUUGUAGGCAUGGAUUUUUUGUAAACACCAUAAAAGGUCCUUGAUCCAAAAGGCUCUGCACUCAGUGCAUUACAUGUACUUUCUAUUCUCCCCAGGCCCUACCCCACCCCUACAUCAGCCCAUUAUAAUUCUUAAAGAUUUUGUGCUCAAGCCAGGGGCCCGAGUGGGGGCAUUUACCCUCCAUAUAGUGCAAACAUACACAAAGAACAAUUGACCACCAUAUAACAUAACACUUUGUAGGGUUUUCAAGCUUACAAAUAUCAGACUAAUUUUUUUUUUUUUUUUUCUUUUUGAGAUGGAGUCUCGC